GGGUUGUGAGGUUAAGCGACUAAGCGUACACGGUGGAUGCCUAGGCAGUCAGAGGCGAUGAAGGGCGUGCUAAUCUGCGAAAAGCGUCGGUAAGGUGAUAUGAACCGUUACAACCGACGAUACCCGAAUGGGGAAACCCAGUGCAAUUCGUUGCACUAUUGCAUGGUGAAUACAUAGCCAUGCAAGGCGAACCGGGGGAACUGAAACAUCUAAGUACCCCGAGGAAAAGAAAUCAACCGAGAUUCCCCCAGUAGCGGCGAGCGAACGGGGAGGAGCCCAGAGUCUGAAUCAGUUUGUGUGUUAGUGGAAGCGUCUGGAAAGUCGCAGGGUACAGGGUGAUACUCCCGUACACAAAAACACACUUGCUGUGAACUCGAUGAGUAGGGCGGGACACGUGACAUCCUGUCUGAAUAUGGGGGGACCAUCCUCCAAGGCUAAAUACUCCUGACUGACCGAUAGUGAACCAGUACCGUGAGGGAAAGGCGAAAAGAACCCCGGCGAGGGGAGUGAAAUAGAACCUGAAACCGUGUACGUACAAGCAGUGGGAGCACCUUCGUGGUGUGACUGCGUACCUUUUGUAUAAUGGGUCAGCGACUUAUAUUUUGUAGCAAGGUUAACCGAAUAGGGGAGCCGUAGGGAAACCGAGUCUUAACUGGGCGUCUAGUUGCAAGGUAUAGACCCGAAACCCGGUGAUCUAGCCAUGGGCAGGUUGAAGGUUGGGUAACACUAACUGGAGGACCGAACCGACUAAUGUUGAAAAAUUAGCGGAUGACUUGUGGCUGGGGGUGAAAGGCCAAUCAAACCGGGAGAUAGCUGGUUCUCCCCGAAAGCUAUUUAGGUAGCGCCUCGUGAACUCAUCUUCGGGGGUAGAGCACUGUUUCGGCUAGGGGGUCAUCCCGACUUACCAAACCGAUGCAAACUCCGAAUACCGAAGAAUGUUAUCACGGGAGACACACGGCGGGUGCUAACGUCCGUCGUGAAGAGGGAAACAACCCAGACCGCCAGCUAAGGUCCCAAAGUCAUGGUUAAGUGGGAAACGAUGUGGGAAGGCAUAGACAGCCAGGAUGUUGGCUUAGAAGCAGCCAUCAUUUAAAGAAAGCGUAAUAGCUCACUGGUCGAGUCGGCCUGCGCGGAAGAUGUAACGGGGCUAAACCAUGCACCGAAGCUGCGGCAGCGACACUUAGGUGUUGUUGGGUAGGGGAGCGUUCUGUAAGCCGUUGAAGGUGACCUGUGAGGGUUGCUGGAGGUAUCAGAAGUGCGAAUGCUGACAUAAGUAACGAUAAUGCGGGUGAAAAGCCCGCACGCCGGAAGACCAAGGGUUCCUGUCCAACGUUAAUCGGGGCAGGGUGAGUCGACCCCUAAGGCGAGGCUGAAAAGCGUAGUCGAUGGGAAACAGGUUAAUAUUCCUGUACUUGGUGUUACUGCGAAGGGGGGACGGAGAAGGCUAGGCUAGCCGGGCGACGGUUGUCCCGGUUUAAGCAUGUAGGCGGAGCGACUUGGUAAAUCCGGUUGCUUAUCAACGCUGAGGUGUGAUGACGAGUCACUACGGUGAUGAAGUAGUUGAUGCCAAGCUUCCAGGAAAAGCCUCUAAGCAUCAGGUAACAUUAAAUCGUACCCCAAACCGACACAGGUGGUCAGGUAGAGAAUACUCAGGCGCUUGAGAGAACUCGGGUGAAGGAACUAGGCAAAAUGGUGCCGUAACUUCGGGAGAAGGCACGCUGGCAUUAGGUAAAGAGACUUGCUCUCGGCGCCGAAGCCAGUCGCAGAUACCAGCUGGCUGCAACUGUUUAAUAAAAACACAGCACUGUGCAAACACGAAAGUGGACGUAUACGGUGUGACGCCUGCCCGGUGCUGGAAGGUUAAUUGAUGGGGUCAGCCGCAAGGCGAAGCUCUUGAUCGAAGCCCCAGUAAACGGCGGCCGUAACUAUAACGGUCCUAAGGUAGCGAAAUUCCUUGUCGGGUAAGUUCCGACCUGCACGAAUGGCGUAAUGAUGGCCAGGCUGUCUCCACCCGAGACUCAGUGAAAUUGAACUCGCUGUGAAGAUGCAGUGUACCCGCGGCAAGACGGAAAGACCCCGUGAACCUUUACUAUAGCUUGACACUGAACAUUGAGCCUUGAUGUGUAGGAUAGGUGGGAGGCAUCGAAGCGUGGACGCCAGUCUGCGUGGAGCCAACCUUGAAAUACCACCCUUUAAUGUUUGAUGUUCUAACUCGGCCCCGUGAUCCGGGGUGAGGACAGUGUCUGGUGGGUAGUUUGACUGGGGCGGUCUCCUCCCAAAGAGUAACGGAGGAGCACGAAGGUUAGCUAAUCACGGUCGGACAUCGUGAGGUUAGUGCAAAGGCAUAAGCUAGCUUGACUGCGAGAGUGACGGCUCGAGCAGGUACGAAAGUAGGUCUUAGUGAUCCGGUGGUUCUGAAUGGAAGGGCCAUCGCUCAACGGAUAAAAGGUACUCCGGGGAUAACAGGCUGAUACCGCCCAAGAGUUCAUAUCGACGGCGGUGUUUGGCACCUCGAUGUCGGCUCAUCACAUCCUGGGGCUGAAGUAGGUCCCAAGGGUAUGGCUGUUCGCCAUUUAAAGUGGUACGCGAGCUGGGUUUAGAACGUCGUGAGACAGUUCGGUCCCUAUCUGCCGUGGGCGUUGGAAGAUUGAGAGGGGCUGCUCCUAGUACGAGAGGACCGGAGUGGACGAAUCACUGGUGUUCGGGUUGUCAUGCCAAUGGCAUUGCCCGGUAGCUAAAUUCGGAAGAGAUAACCGCUGAAAGCAUCUAAGCGGGAAACUUGCCUCGAGAUGAGUCUUCCCUGGGGCUUUAAGCCCCCUGAAGGAACGUUAAAGACUAUGACGUUGAUAGGCUGGGUGUGUAAGUGCAGCGAUGCAUUGAGCUAACCAGUACUAAUGAUCCGUGAGGCUUAACCUUACAACACCGAAGGUGUUU
rnacentral:rRNA from 1 species